rnacentral:misc_RNA from 1 species
AAGUCGUAACAAGGUUUCCGUAGGUGAACCUGCGGAAGGAUCAUUAUUGAAUGAACUUGAUGUGGUUGUAGCUGACCCUUUCGAGGGUAUGUGCACGCCCGUCAUCUUUAUCUUUCCACCUGUGCACACUUUGUAGAUUUGAAUAGCAUUUUCUGAGGUUAACUCAGUUGGGAGGAUUGCUGGUAUAUUAUCGGCUAUCCUUGUGAUAUUCAAGUCUAUGUUUUUCAUAUACUCCAAAAAUGUAACAGAAUGUAUCAUUGGGCCUUGUGCCUAUAAACUAUAUACAACUUUCAGCAACGGAUCUCUUGGCUCUC